UUUUUGGCAAUCAGAAGUUUUCUCAGCUGCUGAUUUACCUAUUUACAGGCCAACUAUUAAACCCCUGUGAUAGGAUGGACGCUGGCCCAUGUCACACAGCUGUGUAGGGACAUGCAGCUGUAACAGCUUGUAGCUUGCAGUCUUCCCCAGAAACCAUCCGGUCGCUGUAAGCUCUGGAGUCAGGGGUACUGUGCGUUACAGAAGAUAAUCAUGCAGCUUGGAUAGGUCGAUUUCUAAUCUAUUUAUUGGUGGACAAAGAACAAAGCCAUGGCAGAUCUCCUCACACCUACCGACACAGCCUCCAAACCACCAGAUCUUUGUUCUGAGUGUGGACAACCUCACCACGUCAACGAGAACCACAUUUACAACUUCCAGGAUGAAGUGGACGAUGAACUGGUCUGCCACAUAUGUCUUCAACCCCUGCUGCAGCCUAUGGACACUCCUUGCGGUCACACCUACUGCUUCAGGUGCUUGAAAAACUUUUUGAAGGAGAAGGACUUUUGUCCAAUGGACCGCAAGAAGCUUUGCUUCCAGGAAUGCCAUAAGUCCAGCCUACUAGUCAGGAAUUUGUUGGACAAACUGACUGUGAUCUGUCCUCUUCUGGCAGAAUGUAAGCAUGUCAUGCAGCGCUGUGAACUGGAGCCACACCUACGCAACAGGUGCGUAGGCUUCAAGAAAUACAGAGCAGAGACAGAAAGAAAGCGGAACCCCCUCUCCGUGGGGAAGGAACAUCAGGAUGCACAAACGCAGAUGCCCCAAGCAAGUGGAGUCUCCGAUAUUUUAGCUGAAUCUUCUAUCGCUGCUAUUGUAGCUCUUGGAACGUCUGAGCCUGGUCUGGUGAAUCCAGCAUUCGAUGAGCAGGAUGAUGAUCAGCCUCAGAGGACAAGUCUGGUAGCAGAAACAAACACCAUUGAAAUACGUCGAAAUGACCCUGAGGAUGAGCUUGGGAUGCGGAUUGUGGGUGGUCGGGACACACCUCUCGGGAACAUUGUAGUUCAAGAAGUUCUGAAAGACUCACUGGUGGCCACAGAUGGCAAACUGACACCUGGAGACCACAUCCUGGAAGUCAAUGGAAUGAACAUCAGCAACGUGUCUCAUAGUCAAGCCAUUGCCCUGCUUCGCCAACCCUGUGCUGCCCUGUACCUCACAGUACUCCAGGAGAAAGGUUUCUCUCAGAGAUCUUUACAUCCAGAGAGCAGCAACUCUGCCAGUGCCAACAAGGAAGUAAUCCAUGUCACUCUAAUGAAGAGAGAUCGCACUGAGCCACUUGGCAUCAAGCUGGUCAGGAAGACAGAGGAAACUGGAGUCUUUGUUCUAGAUCUAUUAGACGGUGGCCUGGCUGCAAAGGAUGGCAAGUUAAAGUGUAACGACAGGGUUCUGUCCAUCAACGGGCAGGAUCUCAGGCAAGGAACACCUGAAACAGCCGCACAGAUUAUCCAGAUGAGUGAAGCUCGAGUGAACUUUGUGGUCCUCAGGCAGGCUGCAGCUCAAGCCAUGGAUAUAAGUGAAGAGGGGACUUCUUCUGGAAAUAGCAGCAGCAGCAGCAGUGGUGGGAGCCCUGUACUUCCACGCAAGAGGCCUAAUCAGCGUCCAUAUAGAAGAAAAUCCACAAACCAAAAACAGGACAUGCCUCAGACUCUCUAUGGCGUAGAGAAGGUGGUUACGGUAAAGAAAGAGCCAAGGGAAUCUCUUGGAAUAACCAUAGGAGGUGGACGGGAUCAUAAAAACAAGCUUCCCAUCUUUGUGUCCAGUAUUCAGCCAGUUGGAUGUUUGUACAGAGAUGGCCGAAUCCGCAGAGGGGACGUGCUCCUGAGCAUUAACGGGACUGACCUUACAUCACUGGGCUAUUUGGAAGCAGUGUCUGUACUGAAGUCCAAUGCAGCUUCUCAUACAGUUGUUCUGAAAACUCUGGAGUUUGCGCUGGGAGAGAAGCCAAACGAGGUGAUAGAGGGAACUGCUGAAAUACCAAGAGAACGUGGUGGGAUGUGGUCUCCACUUUGGGUAUCGUGGCUUUCUUUACCCAGCACUCUCCACUGGUGUCGGCAUAUUUCUUUACGGAAGAGCACGUUUGAAAGCUGGGGAUUCAGCAUCGUUGGAGGUUACGAGGAGACCAAAGGCAAUCAGCCAUUCUUCAUUAAAACAAUAGUGCCGGCCACACCAGCUUUUUUUGAUGGACGCUUGAAGUGUGGCGAUGAGAUUGUUGAAGUAAAUGGUGUGUCUGCAGCAGGAAUGAGUAACUCACAGCUGAUCCCCAUGUUGAAAGAACAGAAGAAUAGGGUCACUUUAACCGUGGUAUCGUGGCCUGGGAGUUUAGUCUGAAAAUGCCAAAGUCCAUACCAUUGAACUUUAUUGAGCCCAAUGCAAAAUGUACUGGAAAUACAACGUUCUUUCCUUCUUCUGCCCUGUGCCUUUAGAACAUCCCAGGAACCUGAACAAUGAAUGAUUGUUGUAAGCUAAUCUGAAAACUACUGACAUGGAUUGUAGGAGCAUGUUGUUCACCAGCAUCUUUUAAUUGGGGGUGGGGGGGGAACUAGAUGCAUUUUCAUUAAGGGUUGAAAUAUUUGCCUACUGUGUGUUUUGAUAGUUUAGUCUCUAAAGCUUAAUUUGUAGUUGCAGUGAUUGUGCCACAAUGUAAUAUAUCCAAGGAAAACUGUCAAACAUUAAUUUUACAGAUCCAUUGUUUUAUGGGUAUCGGCAAGAUAUUUAUGGAAGUGCCUUAACAUUUCCAGCUAGAGGGUGUUAUUUCAUUUUACAAGUAAAUGACGCAAAACUAAUCUGAUAUUACUGGACUGAACAAACUCAAACAUCGAACAAGAUGAAGGAAUACUACCAGCUAAAAAUGAAAAAUGUACAUAAAAACAAGCCCCUGACCUUUACACUCUGGUCUUAUUAAUGUAUGUGACGACAUGUCUAAAUUCUGGCCCAUUGUCUAAAUGUAUUUAUUAUUAGAUUUCACCACAACAAACCACUUUACUGACCUAGGUAUCGUGCGACUCUUACAAACUGAAAAUUCCCCUUUUAAUUUCUGUAAGAUUUUUAAUAUCCUGUUAAAUUAUCUUCUAUAUUUAACACAUGUUUGUAAAGGUCUGAAAAAUCUAAGUAAAUGUAGGAAUUCACACUGCUUUAUUUUUCUCUACACUGGAACUGAGAGCCUCUAUAUUUGCACCCUUUAAUUCAUUAUUAUAAGCUGUACACUUUUUUGUCAUUUAAAGGGACACUAUAGUCACCAGAACAACUACAGCUUAUUGUAUUUGUUCUGGUGAGUAGAAUCAUUCCCUGCAGGGUUUUGCUGUAAAUGUUUUUUUUUUCAGUGAGAAUGCUAUGUUUACAUUACAGCCUAGGGAUAACUCCACUGGCCACUCCUCAGAUGGCUGCUAGAGGUGCUUCCUGGGUCAUUCAUUGUCUUUACCCUCUGCAUGCAGACACUGAACUUUCAUCAUAGAAAUGCAUUGAUUCAAUGGAUCUCUAUGAGGAGGUGCUGAUUGGCCAGGGCUGUUUUUGACUUGUGCUGGCUUUGCCUCCAUGACGAUCUCCGCCAAUCCUAUUGGAAAGCAUUGUGAUUGGUUCACAGAAUCACUUCUGAUGAUAUCAGGCAUGCGGACAGGUCAGAUGUAGCAGCUGCAGACUUGAAUACAAGUAAGAUUUUACUAUAUUUAGUGAGGCAAAGGAGGUGUAGGGGUGGGGUAGAUGUUUGUUUUAACACUAUAGAGUCAGGAAUACAUGUUUGUCUUCCUUACCCUACAGUGUUCCUUUAAUAUUCAUUUGAAAAAACCUUUUGUAUUUGUAAGCCAACCUAGAUACCAUUUGUAACUUGCAUCAAAGCUCUAUAAGAGACAGAAAUAAUCCAAUGGCUAUAAAGGUAGAAGAUGGGGAAACAAGCUGUGUAUUCUCCAAUGUACUCUGUGCCAUGGCUGUUCCUAGAGUGAACAGAAUCUGAACAGAAUCUGAUGUCAUUUAAUACAUCUGUUUAAUAGACAUCUAAAAGAAAAUCAAGCAUCAAAUUGAAAAGGUUAACACAAAUUCUAGGCUAUGUUCAAUGUUUUAUGCAGUGGCGUAAAUUCUAAGAUUCUAAAAGUAAAAUGACAGGGGCCUUAAUUUUGUUUUUAACGCAUACCUGCACUUUGUAUCCCAUUAAACAAUGGAAUUUGUGUUCUGAUUGUAUCUUGGAUAACAUUUUAACAAAAGAUUGUGAUCUGACAACUCUAUCUUUUGAAUGGUAUUUAAGUAAAAUGAAGUUGGCUGUAGGACAGCAUGUUUUAAUUUUAAUUUUUACAAUUUUGCCUUAUAUUUGUAUGCUUGUCAUGAUCUGAAAUGGCUGUAAUACUUCAUGUCUUAAAGGGGCCGUGUAUCCUGAAAUAACUACGGCUUAAUUGCAUGUAAAUGUGUAGUCAAUUCUUCUGACCCACUUUUAGUUAAACAGUUAUACUCUAUAAUUUACUUAUACUUGAUAAUGAUACCUUUCAGGCCACAUCAGCUAGAGAAAGCAUUAUUAAGAUAAGGGUUAGUCUGAUUGUAAUUUUCGAAAUGGAGACUUGAUGCUACGAAGCAUUACACACUUCAUAAAUCCCUUUAAGCCAAAAUCAUUAGAUCUUUAAGUCUGAAAUGUUUCUUAAUAAAUUAUUGCUUUAAUCCAGUAUUGCUGGCUGGACUUGCAAUUCCUUGCAAGAUCCCUGGCAUUACACAGACUGUAUCUGUAUAGUUCUAACACCAAUGGAUGUUGAGUUUGUAUAUGUCUUUCCCUGUCCUUGUAAAUUAGUUAUUUGUAUUGUACUUAUCAGAUUUUCUAAGGUUGUUGCUUUAAACUGUUUUUCAUUGUAUGUAAUAUAAUUAUAUUGUGCUGCAGCUUGGUUGACCAGAUAUGUUUCAUCACCCUCUACAAAAUGUGUAGUCCAUUAUGCGCUGGUUCAGUUCUUCUGGUGCCCUGCCAUCCAAAAUUGUUUGCUGAGAUUGGGAGCAUCAUGAUAAAUGAAGUCCUCUACAGAUAUUACAUGCCAGUGGUUAGCCACCAUUACUGAGCAUUGAAUAACGAGAAUGGUCCUGAUUCACAAAUUGCCCAUCUCAGGGAAAUUCUUUGUAACCAAUGAGUGAUUUUAUAAUAUUACAAAAUAAAGUUUACAAAAAAAUAAAACCUUUA